rnacentral:rRNA from 1 species
AGGCAGCAGUGGGGAAUAUUGCGCAAUGGGCGAAAGCCUGACGCAGCGACGCCGCGUGAGGGAUGAAGGUCUUCGGAUCGUAAACCUCUGUCAGCAGGGAAGAACGGUCACUGUGCUAAUCAGCAGUUGAAUUGACGGUACCUGCAAAGGAAGCACCGGCUAACUCCGUGCC